rnacentral:rRNA from 1 species
AGCAGCCGCGGUAAUUCCAGCUCCAAUAGCGUAUAUUAAAGUUGUUGCAGUUAAAAAGCUCGUAGUUGAAUUUCGGGAUCAAUAUGUUGGUCGUGCCUUGGUACGUACUGGCAUUAUUGGUUCCUACCUUCUGAAGAACCUCGAUGUCAUUAAUUUGGUGUCUUGGGGAAUCAGGACUGUUACUUUGAAAAAAUUAGAGUGUUUAAAGCAGGCUCGCGCUUGAAUACAUUAGCAUGGAAUAAUGAAAUAGGACGUUUGAUUCUAUUUUGUUGGUUUCUAGGAUCGACGUAAUGAUUAAUAGGGAUAGUUGGGGGCAUUAGUAUUCAAUUGUCAGAGGUGAAAUUCUUGGAUUUAUUGAAGACUGACUACUGCGAAAGCAUUUGCCAAGGAUGUUUUCAUUAAUCAAGAACGAAAGUUAGGGGAUCGAAGACGAUCAGAUACCGUCGUAGUCUUAACCAUAAACUAUGCCGACUAGGGAUCGGAUGAUGUUAAUUUUUUAAUGACUCAUUUGGCGCCUUACG